rnacentral:rRNA from 1 species
UACAGAGGGGGCAAGCGUUGUUCGGAAUUACUGGGCGUAAAGGGCGCGUAGGCGGCCUUCUAAGUCGAACGUGAAAUCCCCGGGCUCAACCCGGGAACUGCGUCCGAUACUGGAAGGCUUGAAUCCGGGAGAGGGAUGUGGAAUUCCAGGUGUAGCGGUGAAAUGCGUAGAUAUCUGGAGGAACACCGGUGGCGAAGACGGUUCUCUGGGCCUGUUCUGACGCUGAGGAGCGAAAGCGUGGGGAGCGAACAGG